GUCCGCUUUACUUGUAGAUUCAUGUGUGCAUGACAUGGAGCAGGAUAUGAUGGAGUGCAUAUUCAUAAUAUACGGUUUAGUUUGCAACCACGGAUAAUAUGCAGAAAUGUAUUUAAAGAAGUGAACGUUUGAGUGCAACUUUUGUCCUGAUGUGGAGGAGUCAAUGACAAAAAAGUCACCUGUUAAUGCGAGUAGAGCCAACUCCUGAAACACUCUACGAGUUACCGAGACAAGUGUAAUUUAGUAACAUAUCUUAAAUGCAAAUAAAAAAGAGAAAUUUGACUGCAGUUUUUGCAUAUAUAGUAUGUUUGGGAGACAGACACUGAAAUGCUUAAUUUCUUUGCAGUUUCUAGAUGUAAAAUAUGAGGUGUUUCUGAAACUAUUCUUCAGGAAAUGUUAAUCUGUUUAUAAAUCAGUGCCUAGGAGGAUUUUGUCUUAGUACGAGAGAUCAUAAAUGUGAUUUUACCACCA